rnacentral:rRNA from 1 species
CGGGGUGAGUAAUGUAUGGGGAUCUGCCUGAUGGGCGGGGGAUAACUACUGGAAACGGUAGCUAAUACCGCAUAAUGUCUGCGGACCAAAGCGGGGGACCUCCGGGCCUCGCGCCAUCAGAUGAACCCAUAUGGGAUUAGCUUGUAGGUAAGGUAACGGCUUACCUAGGCGACGAUCCCUAGCUGGUCUGAGAGGAUGAUCAGCCACACUGGGACUGAGACACGGCCCAG